rnacentral:rRNA from 1 species
CCCUUAGAUGUUCUGGGCCGCACGCGCGCUACACUGACGGAUUCAACGAGCUUACAACCUUGGCCGAAAGGUCUGGGUAAUCUCCAAAAUCCGUCGUGAUGGGGAUAGAUUAUUGCAAUUAUUAAUCUUCAACGAGGAAUGCCUAGUACGCGCAAGUCAUCAGCUUGCGUUGAUUACGUCCCUGCCCUUUGUACACACCGCCCGUCGCUCCUACCGAUUGAAUGGUCCGGUGAAGCGUUUGGACUAUGGUUUUCUGAUGGUCCGCCGUUGGAUUACCGUGGGAAGUUCGUUAAACCUUAUCAUUUAGAGGAAGGAGAAGUCGUAACA